AACUCGCCUGCACAAGUUGGAAUUGCUAGUAAUCGUGGAUCAGCAUGCCACGGUGAAUACGUUCCCGGGUCUUGUACACACCGCCCGUCACACCAUGGGAGCCGGUAAUACCCGAAGUCAGUAGUCUAACCGCAAGGAGGACGCUGCCGAAGGUAGGAUUGGCGACUGGGGUGAAGUCGUAACAAGGUAGC
rnacentral:rRNA from 1 species